GUGUCAGCAGCCGCGGUAAUACGAAGGGGGCUAGCGUUGUUCGGAUUUACUGGGCGUAAAGCGCACGUAGGCGGAUCGAUCAGUCAGGGGUGAAAUCCCAGAGCUCAACUCUGGAACUGCCUUUGAUACUGUCGAUCUGGAGUAUGGAAGAGGUGAGUGGAAUUCCGAGUGUAGAGGUGAAAUUCGUAGAUAUUCGGAGGAACACCAGUGGCGAAGGCGGCUCACUGGUCCAUUACUGACGCUGAGGUGCGAAAGCGUGGGGAGCAAACAGGAUUAGAAACCCCGGUAGUCC
rnacentral:rRNA from 1 species